UCCCAUUGCUCUUCCUUCAUCUUCCACCAUGAUUAUGAGGCGUCUCCAGCCACAUGGAACUCUUCUUCCUUUAGGUUAACUCCCAUGAAGAGCUUUGAAAGAAAUAGAAGGAUAUUACAUCCUCUUGGAUCAGUCUUGCAAAUGGAGAACCUGCUCUCUGGGAGAAAAGUCAAAUCGGUCCCACGGCUCUCUUCUCCCACUAAGAACAACUGGUUCCUUCCUUCAGAAGAAGAUGUGUUAUUCCCACCAGUAGUGGUGAGCGCCUGGAUUCCAAAAGGGUUAAGAAUUCGGAGAUGUGACCUGCCUCAUUCUGAAGAACGUGGCCCAGCAUGUGUAUGAAGCAAUUAAUUGCUCCACAAACCCUGAAAAUUUGAUCACUGGCCAGAGUAACGCUGAGGAGCCAUCCUGUCUUCUGCUUGAGUGUCUUCACUCUGGGGAUUCUGGCAGGCUGGUUUCCUGGCCAGAUGCUUCUCAUCCACACCUGUGGACCUCAGGAAACCAAAGGUGACCUCUGUUGGCAUGGCCUUGACUUCCUUUCCACCAAUGCCCAUGAGAUGUGGAAAUUGAGCGAACAUCCACACCAGAACCAUACACUCAAACAAGCAGGUUGGGGCAGGGAAACUCCAUCACAUCAUGGUGAGGCAGAGAUGCUGCAGCCACCCAGAUCAUUGUGUAGUAGAGGUGGCACCAUUUUACUAUGUGUCCUCCCUGCACUCAGUGAAGUCUGUGAAGGGAGGGGUCAGUGCAGCAAGGAGCUCGCUCUGCCCCAGAGGAGAGAGUGGAAUGUUCGAGGACACAUGAAAGCAGUUACUCUGCCUACCUUUUAAAACUCUUUCCUCCUGGGGAACUGGUUUAUUCUGUACUCCUAAACAGACUAUAUCCAUGUAUUCACUCCUUCUAUAAAUAUUUGAGAAAAACCUACUAUAUGCCAAGCACUUUUCUAGGCAAAGGAAAUGCAAUAGCCCUUUCUUCCCAUAGCUUCCAGCCUGGUGGGGAAUAAAGGAAUUAAAUAAGCAAUUACAA
rnacentral:lncRNA from 1 species